CCUGACGGCAGCAAUGAAUUCUUCAGCAGCAGGAUUAAUACGCGCUCCUCCGGCUCAGAGGCUCCAGAGACUCAGAGACUCCAGAGACUCAGAGACUCAGAGACUCCAGACUCAGAGACUCCAGAGGCUCCAGAGACUCCAGAGACUCAGAGACUCAGAGACUCCAGAGACUCAGAGACUCAGAGACACCAGACUCAGAGACUCCAGAGGCUCCAGAGACUCAGAGACUCCAGAGACUCCAGAUACUCAGGGACUCCAGAGACUCAGACACUCCAGACUCAGAGACUCCAGAGGCUCCAGAGACUCCAGAGACUCAGAGACUCAGAGACUCAGAGACUCCAGAGACUCCAGAGACUCAGACACUCCAGAGACUCCAGAGACUCAGACACUCCAGAGACUCCAGAGACUCCAGAGACUCAGACACUCCAGAGACUCCAGAGACUCCAGAGACUCCAGAGGCUCCAGAGACUCAAACACUCCAGAGACUCCAGAGACUCAGACACUCCAGAGACUCCAGAGACUCAGACACUCCAGAGACUCCAGAGACUCCAGAGGCUCCAGAGACUCCAGAGACUCAGAGACUCCAGAGACUCCAGAGACUCAGACACUCCAGAGACUUCAGAGACUCAGACACUCCAGAGACUCAGAGACUCCAGAGACUCAGACACUCCAGAGACUCAGACACUCCAGAGACUCCAGAGACUAAGAGACUCAGACACUCCAGAGACUCCAGAGACUCAGACACUCCAGAGACCCCAGAGACUCCAGAGACUCAGGGACUCAGACACUCCAGAGACUCCAGAGACUCCAGAGACUCCAGAGACUCAGACACUCCAGAGACUCAGACACUCCAGAGACUCCAGAGACUCAGACACUCCAGAGACUCAGACACUCCAGAGACUCCAGAGACUCAGACACUCCAGAGACUCAGACACUCCAGAGGCUCCAGAGACUCAAACACUCCAGAGACUCCAGAGACUCAGACACUCCAGAGACUCAGACACUCAGACACUCCAGAGCCUCAGAGACUCAGACACUCCAGAGACUCCAGAGACUCAGACACUCCAGAGACUCAGACACUCCAGAGACUCCAGAGACUCAGACACUCCAGAGACUCAGACACUCCAGAGACUCAGAGACUCAGAGACUCCAGAGACUCAGACACUCCAGAGACUCAGAGACUCAGACACUCCAGAGACUCAGACACUCCAGAGACUCCAGAGACUCCAGAGACUCCAGAGACUCAGACACUCCAGAGACUCAGACACUCCAGAGACUCAGAGACUCAGAGACUCAGACACUCCAGACACUCCAGAGACUCAGACACUCCAGAGACUCCAGAGACUCCAGAGACUCCAGAGACUCCAGAGACUCAGACACUCCAGAGACUCAGACACUCCAGAGACUCAGAGACUCAGAGACUCAGACACUCCAGACACUCCAGAGACUCAGACACUCCAGAGACUCCAGAGACUCCAGAGACUCAGACACUCCAGAGACUCCAGAGACUCAGACACUCCAGAGACUCAGACACUCCAGAGACUCCAGAGACUCCAGAGACUCCAGAGACUCCAGAGACUCCAGAGACUCAGACACUCCAGAGACUCAGACACUCCAGAGACUCAGAGACUCAGACACUCCAGAGACUCAGACACUCCAGAGACUCCAGAGACUCCAGAGACCCAGACACUCCAGAGACUCAGAGACUCCAGAGACUCAGAGACUCAGACACUACAGAGACUCAGACACUCCAGAGACUCCAGAGACUCCAGACACUCCAGAGACUCAGAGACUCAGACACUCCAGAGACUCAGACACUCCAGAGACUCCAGAGACUCCAGACACUCCAGAGACUCCAGAGACUCAGACACUCCAGAGACUCCAGAGACUCCAGAGGCUCCAGAGACUCCAGAGACUCAGACACUCCAGAGACUCAGAGACUCAGACACUCCAGAGACUCAGACACUCCAGAGACUCCAGAGACUCCAGAGACCCAGACACUCCAGAGACUCAGAGACUCCAGAGACUCAGACACUCCAGAGACUCAGACACUCCAGAGACUCCAGAGACUCCAGACACUCCAGAGACUCAGAGACUCAGACACUCCAGAGACUCAGACACUCCAGAGACUCCAGAGACUCCAGACACUCCAGAGACUCCAGAGACUCAGACACUCCAGAGACUCCAGAGACUCCAGAGGCUCCAGAGACUCCAGAGACUCAGAGACUCCAGAGACUCCAGAGACUCAGACACUCCAGAGACUUCAGAGACUCAGACACUCCAGAGACUCAGAGACUCCAGAGACUCAGACACUCCAGAGACUCAGACACUCCAGAGACUCCAGAGACUCCAGAGACUAAGAGACUCAGACACUCCAGAGACUCCAGAGACUCAGACACUCCAGAGACCCCAGAGACUCCAGAGACUCAGGGACUCAGACACUCCAGAUACUCCAGAGACUCCAGAGACUCCAGAGACUCAGACACUCCAGAGACUCAGACACUCCAGAGACUCCAGAGACUCAGACACUCCAUAGACUCAGACACUCCAGAGACUCCAGAGACUCAGACACUCCAGAGACUCAGACACUCCAGAGGCUCCAGAGACUCAAACACUCCAGAGACUCCAGAGACUCAGACACUCCAGAGACUCAGACACUCAGACACUCCAGAGACUCAGAGACUCAGACACUCCAGAGACUCCAGAGACUCAGACACUCCAGAGACUCAGACACUCCAGAGACUCCAGAGACUCAGACACUCCAGAGACUCAGACACUCCAGAGACUCAGAGACUCAGAGACUCCAGAGACUCAGACACUCCAGAGACUCAGAGACUCAGACAUUCCAGAGACUCAGACACUCCAGAGACUCCAGAGACUCCAGAGACUCCAGAGACUCAGACACUCCAGAGACUCAGACACUCCAGAGACUCAGAGACUCAGAGACUCAGACACUCCAGACACUCCAGAGACUCAGACACUCCAGAGACUCCAGAGACUCCAGAGACUCCAGAGACUCCAGAGACUCAGACACUCCAGAGACUCAGACACUCCAGAGACUCAGAGACUCAGAGACUCAGACACUCCAGACACUCCAGAGACUCAGACACUCCAGAGACUCCAGAGACUCCAGAGACUCCAGAGACUCAGACACUCCAGAGACUCCAGAGACUCAGACACUCCAGAGACUCAGACACUCCAGAGACUCCAGAGACUCCAGAGACUCCAGAGACUCAGACACUCCAGAGACUCAGACACUCCAGAGACUCAGAGACUCAGACACUCCAGAGACUCAGACACUCCAGAGACUCCAGAGACUCCAGAGACCCAGACACUCCAGAGACUCAGAGACUCCAGAGACUCAGAGACUCAGACACUCCAGAGACUCAGACACUCCAGAGACUCCAGAGACUCCAGACACUCCAGAGACUCCAGAGACUCAGACACUCCAGAGACUCAGACACUCCAGAGACCCAGAGACUCAGACACUCCAGAGACUCAGACACUUCAGAGACUCAGACACUCCAGAGACUCAGAGACUCAGACACUCCAGAGACUCAGACACUCCAGAGACUCCAGAGACUCCAGACACUCCAGAGACUCCAGAGACUCAGACACUCCAGAGACUCAGACACUCCAGAGACCCAGAGACUCAGACACUCCAGAGACUCAGACACUCCAGAGACUCAGAGACUCAGAGACUCAGAGACUCCAGAGACUCAGAGACUCAGAGACUCAGAGACUCAGAGACUCCAGAGACUCAGACACUCCAGAGACUCAGAGACUCCAGAGACUCAGACACUCCAGAGACUCAGAGACUCAGAGACUCAGAGACUCAGAGACUCAGAGACUCAGAGACUCCAGAGACUUAGAGACUCCAGAGACUCAGACACUCCAGAGACUCAGAGACUCCAGAGACUCAGACACUCCAGAGACUCAGAGACUCAGAGACUCAGAGACUCAGACACUCCAGAGACUCAGAGACUCAGAGACUCAGACACUCCAGAGACUCAGAGACUCAGAGACUCCAGAGACUCAGACACUCCAGAGACUCAGAGACUCAGAGACUCAGACACUCCAGAGACUCAGAGACUCAGAGACUCAGACACUCCAGAGACUCAGACACUCCAGAGACUCCAGAGACUCAGAGACUCAGACACUCCAGAGACUCAGACACUCCAGAGACUCAGAGACUCAGACACUCCAGAGACUCAGAAUCUCAGACACUCCAGAGACUCAGAGACUCAGACACUCCAGAGACUCAGAGACUCAGACACUCCAGAGACUCAGACACUCCAGAGACUCCAGAGACUCAGAGACUCAGAGACUCAGACACUCCAGAGA
rnacentral:lncRNA from 1 species